GAGGUCGUAACAAAGCGGUCAACCGUGGUGGAUUGAAAAUCCAUUUCCGCAGGGAUUCAUGGGUUCGAAUCCCGUCGACCUCACCA
rnacentral:tRNA from 1 species